CACGCUCGCCGGCAUACAGACACACGGAGAGUCAGGCUAGCAUCUGAUGCUGACUCAGAGCGCUUCUGUGUGCAAGGGGUGGCGGCGGCUGGUAUUUUCACUGCGCUCAUCAUUAACAUUAACGCACAGUCUGGCAUCCACCCUCUCCCAGACCUGCUGGACUGCGGCAUUUGCAUGACGCUGUCACUCUUGCCUCUGCAGCGGUUUGACAUCUUCCCGGAAGAAAAUGUCUUGUGCUUCAAUGAGCCAGUUGCCACUUAGUGCUCCCCUCCCAUCCCCUCCAAUCCCCACCCUUUUCGCUGCUAAUCAAUAAGACAGAUCUGCAAGUACAGUGUGGAAACAGACUCAGGCUCGGUCUCGCCCGCCCGGGUCCCCACCUCAGGAAGCAGCCAGGCAGGCUCACAUGUGACACAGAAAGACAUAAUGCCAGCAGCUUCUCAACAGCCCUAGACUUCAUUCUGUGGUUUCAUUUUCUUUCCUCUUUGACCGAAGAAAGAGCAAAAGAAUUAGAAGACCAGCCCUGCCAGGAUCUGACUAAUCAAUGUGAUUUACACUGUGGUGAAAUGCUAAAUUGUGGACUGACAUCAACCAACAAGGACAGAACUAGCCAUCGGUGACUCUACAGCAUACAAAAAAGGCAUACAAAAGGGAAGCAAAGGACACCAUCCUCCAGCCAAUGCUGUCUGGUGCAGCAGAUAUGCCAGUUUACUCUCACAGACAUUCCCAGCAUGCAGUGCGGCGCUGCAGGACCAACUAAGGGCAUUGGAACACUGCACCCUAUCCAAAGCAGAGAACUGGCAUUCCUGUCUAUCACUGGCUGUACUGAUACAUGAUCUGGAAGAAGGAUAUUAAAUCAUCAAUACAGAAAUAAAGAGUCAACUUCUUCAUGAGAAGAUAAAAGUUUAAAGACAAGCUAAAUCAAAAAGGACAGUUGCACAUAUGAACUCAUAAUAGCUGUAACAGCAUAAAACAAACAACCAAAAUUUAAACAAACAAACAAAAAACUUCUGUGAGAUCCAGUCAACAAUAUCCUAGAAUGAAGAAGGGAGGUUGGCUCAAGACCAUCCACAACUGAAGAACAUUUGGUAAUUGAUAGCUGCUGGGACAGGAAGAGUCAUUUGUCCUUAAGGGUGUGGUCCCUGGCACAAAGCACUGCACCGAAGCUGGACCAAUCCUUGCCAUCAGCUGGCAGCAGAAUGGUAGACGGUGGGAGAGACCCUGAAUCCUUCCAGGCUGGGCUGACUUGAGAAAUGAGAACUGCACACGUUUGACUCCCGAACCGAAGGGGUGAAAAGGCUGGGUGCCAGUUUGCUACUCGGCUGAAAUGAUCUCAUGUUCACUGCUCUGUCGUCCUGUUCGACCAGUUCAAAUGCCUGUUCAUUAUAAACCAAAUACAUACAUAAAUAAAUAACCCAACUACUUGGAUUCUUCAGUAACCGAAAAAAAAAAGAUAAGCAGCAGAAUUUAUCAGGCGUGAAAGGGACAGCCUCCUGGUGGCCUGCCAAAAACCCAGAAUAAAGGCGAAGUUGUGCUUCAUAGCUCAGUUGCUUGCUGAGUCUGGCUAAAGUCAAGUAUUAAGAUCCACCAUUUUCUGAUCCUUGCUAGAAAAGAAGAAAAAAGUCAGGCCCGCUGCUGCUUCCAAGUCUCCGUUGGCACCAUCACAAAAUCUCAGUCGUCAGGUCACGUGAUCCUCUGCCAAAUGUAGAGUGAGUGCAUUCCCAUCAACCAUUCUGCUGAUACUGCGAAGGCAGCUAUUGUCUCGUUUAGACCCAAAGUUCAGCCCACUCUUCAUUGAAUUAGCUGAAAAACGCAUCACCUUUGGGGGCUGGGAGUCAUGGUAACGUCUACCUGGCAAGCUGCCCACUUUUUCUGCCCAUCAACCAGAGAUGGGAUUGUGCUGCCUAACGCAGUGAUGACUUGGAAUGUGAAGAGUCGUCCAAAGUGAAUCUAAUUCUUGCAACGCCUGUUUCAUUUGCACAGAAAACUCUGCCUUGUAGUUAGGGGAGGAGAGGCGUGGGGGAAUCUUUCCUACCAAAAGUAGCAAAUAAAGGUCUGAACAUGCCUACUUUGCAACUUUAUUUCUCAA
ensembl:lncRNA